CAAAAAUGGACCACGAAGCAAUCAAAGAAGGUGACCUGGGCUGAUGAAUCACAUUUUCUUUUACAUCAUGUGGAUGGCUAGGUGCGUGUGUGUGGCACUUUUUGGGCUACAACAAC